UGUUUAUGUAAGUAAUUAUUACUAAGCAGAUAUUAUGUUGCAUUUGUGUGCAUAACACUACACUAUUGAUUCUUGGAGAACGUUUGUAGUUUUGUUUUGUUGAUUUAAUAGGGUUAUUUUUGCAACCCUUGUUACUUUAACAGGAAUCUGAGAAGUUGUUACUAUUUGAUUACCUACUAACCCAUUAAGACACUAGACACAUGGAUGUGUCCUAAUCCUAACCCCCCCCCACACACACACACACAGCAUUUUAAAUGUUAUAGUUUGGGUUUUGAUAAUGAGGCCCUUUUCUGUAGUCGGACUUUACUUAUUUUUAUCUAACUACGCCCUUUUGUAAGCCAAAACUGACUAGCAUUACUGCAAUGACUACAAGUUCACAGUAAUUGUGCUAAUGCUGUUGUAACUUUCUUCAAACUGCACGCAGAUGCAUAAACUUAGUUUCCACAAGUUCAUCAGACUCUGAAAUUAAGGGUCACUUUGCCAAAAACCUAAACUCUAACAACAAACUCCAUUCUCCAGACUAAAGGCAUAAUAUAAUAAACACACACACAUACACACACACACACAAAGAUUCGCACACAGCUCUUUAAGAUGGUUACCCUGCUCGACAGAACUGUGACAAUAGCUGUGAUAGUUAUUUAAAAAAUAUCAUGUUAUUUAUUAUAAUGAUCAUGUUUAAAUCAUGAUAUUAUGUACUAUAUUGAUCAUGUUAAUGAUGCCGAUUAUCAAGAACCUGGCUGAUGCUAUUUUCAGAGUUUGUUUACACACAAUAAAGACAUGACGUAAGAAAAUCCAAAGUUGUCUUUUUCUUAACCAAAUGCUUUCUCUUCACACAUGUAUCCAACCCAAUUGCAACGAUUCCCCAAUGGGGUUGUAGCAAGUCUUCACCCAAGUAAUCUCAUUUUACAAGUAAAACAUCCAUGCAACAUCAAUCAGUUUAGUGGGGAUUUGCUUUUAGAUCCUUAUUUAGUGAACACAUUUUACAGCUGGUGGUGUUGAAUUGUUGGAUAAACUACAAGUGUGUUUUGCUUACUGGCAUGUGCUGUUGAGUUUUGGCCACAUAAAGGAUAAAUGUGCUGGAUUUACAGGAACUUGGUACUAUGCUAUUGGGUUCUGUUACGUAAUUCUGUUAUGUGCUGUUAGGGUCUGAAUGCUAAUCAUUGUGUUCCAGCAGACAUUUAAUUCAACCCAUGCUUAAAAGACAUUUUGAAAAUGAAAUUUUAUAAUUUGGGGAAAUCUGUGUAUUUUCCAAGAUGCAAGUGUAUGCCAUGCAUUAUAAUAAAUUUUACCUCCAAC
ensembl:lncRNA